rnacentral:lncRNA from 1 species
GUUGAGCUUAGCAGAGACAGCCCUUUCCACUCUGGAGGUAAGACUGGGAAAAUUUGAGUCCAGAGCCCUCUGCUGCCUCUGGGCCCACUGCCUGUCCAAACACACCUGCAGGAGGAAAGAAGGACCUUGUUACAAACAAGAGAAGAAGAGGAGAUCAAAGCAGCUGCAUCAUCUCAUUAACCUUCACCCCCAGAGAAGAUGGCAAGGAAAACUUAGAAACAAACAAAAUCAAGCCACUCUUCCUGCCUUCAGUGGAGCUUCAAACCAGAGGAUGUUACCUGGAACACAC